GCAGCUGGAUAGCACAUUUGGUUAGAGCGUGGCGUUGAUAACGCCAGGGUCGCAGGUUCAGUCCCCCUAAGGGACAGCUGCA